AGCCUAGAUUGAUGAGCUAUAGAUCCAGUCAUACAGGUCACACAAGGUGACUUCGAGUGGCAUACUAUUUUAUAUUAGUUGCACAUUUGGUUUGCAUUUUUUUAGUGCUGAAAUAUUAUGACAUGGCAUAUCUCAGUUUUUCGCUGGUCUUGUGCAUUGGAUUUCAUACCUAUGUAGUAGUAUUUUUUGGAAACUAUACGGGUUUUACGGUGAGGGGUUAUUAUGUUCAUAAAGAUAAACACGUUUUCAAAGACUUUGUUUUUGCCCACUCACCAUUCUGUUUUGCGCCCCUCCAGGUUCUAGGUAGCUGUUUAUCUUUGGUGGCUCACGAGGACUACUCGGCGGUUCUGACGUUCCAUUAAAUAAUGUAGGGAUCCUCUCCCAGUUUGUAUAAUAUGUGUUUAGUUAGUACCACUGCAUUUUCAUAUUACCUAUGCUCUGAUAUGUGGGUAUUACAUACUUGAUCACUUUCGCACACUUAUAUAUUAUCUCUAGUUAAAUAAGUUUAGUUUUGGUUUUUAUUUAUUCACAUUUUCUUAUUAUUAUUAUCACUUCUGUUGCGCACUUGGCUACAUGACCCUUACAUGACGGCCACAAUGCCUCAACUCCGAUCGGGGUGUGUCAGUUUGGUAUCAGAGCUUAGGUUAGGCAAUCCUGUAUUCUUUGCUUAAGUCCUAAUCAUUUUGAUCUCUUAUGUCAGAACCAUGCCGCCUCGUAGAGAACCACGUACUUCCUCUGAGACUAAUUUUCCAGAUAUUGGACAACUUGGGGAAGUUAGUGCUAGUGCUAUUCAGUCCUCACUUCGUCUUCCUCAGAUGACCCCCUUGGAGACUAUAUAUAACUUGAAGCUAAAUGAUUUCUAUGGUAAUAAAGGGUCUGAGAAAGAUGAGUUUGGCUUGAUCAGGUUGAGAAAACCUUUCAAGUGAUGCAAUGACAAGGAAAUCUUGUAAAGGACAGAUGGGUUGAGACAACUACUUGGUUUUUACAGUUGGAGGCUGCAUCAUGGUGGAAACAUGAAUCCUAUCCAUUGUCAGCUCAAGAUGCUAUGAACUCGGAGGUGUUUAAAUAGAAGUUUCAGAAGAGAUUUAUACCUUCAGAGUAUUUGGAUCAUAAAAGGGAUGAAUUCUCAAAACUGAAGCAAGGGAAGAUGUUAGCCAUUGAGUAUCAUAAAACGUUUACUGAUUUGUCUUGGUAUUGUCCAAAGAUCGCUGAAAAUCCUGCUGAGAUGCUUCAACGUUUUAAGAAGGGUACUCGUAAGAAGUUGUGUUCUAUGGCUACUUCGACUCCCUGUUCCACAUAUCAGGAAUUCUUUGAAGUUUUACUUUAGGUUGAGGACUCCGAGAAUGCUCCGGAUGAUAGUGAUGAGGAGGAAGAAAAAGGUAAUGCUUAGAAAAAUAAUAAUAAAGAUAAAGGGCAGUCAUCUUACGAUCCUCGUAAAACAUAGAAUUUUAAGCAGAGCGGUACUAGUUCUGGUUCGUCCAGUGGUGGUUUAAGUUUUACUACGCCACGGAGGGGCGCCAGGUUCACAGGUGGUUCUCGAUUUCAGAGGCAGAGAAAUCCUAACAGUUCUGGUACUUCAUUUUGCUAAAGAUGCAAUAAUCGUCAUUUUGAGGGGUGUAGACAAGGUGGUAGUGGAUAUUUCACUUGUGGUCAGAUGGGGUAUCGAUUUAACCAGUGCCCACAGAAUCAUCAGAAACCCCAAUCUCUUGCCUUAAAACCAGCUGUUCCCCUUCAGCACAUUUAAAGACCUAGUGGCUAUACUCCGAUAGGUUAUGGUGGUGCUUACCACUAUCAGGGAGAUGUAGCUACAUAUUAUGGGGAAGCCUAUCAGUAUCCAGCGGAUCCAUAUUAUAAGGGUGGUUAUCUACCAUAUUAGGGAGGUUAUGCGCCGUAUACACCGUAUUAGGGCGGUGAACCACAAUGAUAUACUGGACGAUAGUCCUAGAACCUUGAUGCUGCUUCUAGCAGUGCUGGUUCGACGAGACAGCCUAAUCAGCCUAGUCAGGGACGAGGUAUUUAGGGAUGCAGUAAUGAAGGAAAUAGAGGUCGUGGAAGUCGACAAUAGGCGCAUGGCCAUGUUCACCACAUCACUAUGCAAGAUGCUUAGUGCAACCUUGAUUUGAUUAUGGGUACGUUAAAUAUUCUUGGUCAUUUUACUAGAGUAUUAAUUGAUUCAAGUGCUACGCAUUCUGUUAUUUCACAUAUGUUUGCUCAAAAGACUCAACCACACCCUAUUCCCUUCGGUUAUGAGUUGGAGUUCUCCAUGCCUAGAGGCAAAACUUGUUAUGUCAGCUGGGAGUAUCAAGGAUGUCGUGUUCUUGUCGAGGAUGUCAUCAUGCCAGCUAAUCUUGUUACUUUGGAUAUUGUUGAUUUCGUUGUUAUUCUGGGCAUGGAUUAGUUACAUUACAAUCAUGCCAAGUUAGAUUGUUAUGAGAAGGUUGUCAUUUUCCAUCGGUCGGGCUUGCCUGUGGUCACUUUUGUUGGCAAGCGUUGUGGGUUGAGACAAGGCGUUAUCUCAGCUGUAAGAGUGACAAGACUGUUAAGGAAAUGAUGUCAGGGCUAUCUAGCUCAUGUGGUGCUAAACGAGGGUACUUAUGCUCGAGUAGAAUAUGUUCGGGUAGUUAGACAUUUUCCUAAUGUCUUUCCUGAUGAUUUACCUGGUCUACCCCCAGAUCAUGAGGUGGAGUUCGCUAUUGAUCUAAUUCCAGGUAUAGAUCCUAUUUCUUUAAUCCCUUAUCGAAUGGCUCCUGCUAAGUUAAAGGAAUUGAAAACUCAGUUGUAAAAAUUAGUUGAUAAGGGUUUUAUCUAGCCGAGUACUUCACCAUGGGGAGGUUAAGUUUUGUUUAUGCAAAAGAAAGACGGAACUAUGAGGCUAUGUAUUGAUUAUUGACAGUUGAACUAGGUGACGAUUAAAAAUCAUUAUUUGUUACCUCGUAUUGAUGAUAUUUUUACCAGUUUCGGGAUGCUUGUGUGUUCUCAAAGAUUGAUUUGAGAUUUGGGUAUUAUCAGUUGAAGAUCAGGAGUGAGGAUGUCCCAAAGAUAGCAUUGCGAACUUGAUAUGGACAUUACAAGUUUCUCGUGAUGCCAUUCGGGUUAACGAACGUUCCAGCAGCUUUUAUGGAUUUAAUGAAUCAGGUAUUCCGCCUGUACCUUGAUAGGUUUGUCAUUAUCUUUAUCAAUGAUAUUUUGGUAUAUUCUAAAUCUAAGGCGGAGCAUACUAGACAUCUCACUUUAGUUCUGAAGAAGUUAAGAGAACAUUGACGGUAUUCUAAAUUUAGUAAAUGCCAAUUUUGGCUGGAUCAAGUGGCAUUCUUGGGACACGUGAUAUCAGCCUAGGGUAUUCUUAUGGACCCUCACAAAGUAGCUGCCAUGGAGAAUUGGGAGUGGCCUCGGACUAUCACAGAAGUACGGAGUUUUCUCGGCCUUGCGAGCUAUUACUUACGCUUUGUGAAAGAUUUUUCAGCUAUAGCCCUACCUCUAACUAGGUUGACUAGGAAAUGAGUAAAAUUUGAGUAGAGUGAUGAUUGUGAGCGAAGUUUUUAGCAGUUGAAAUAUUGUCUCACUCAUGCAUCUGUUCUGGCGUUUCCUAAUGACAGUGGGAACUUUGAGAUUUAUAGUGAUUCUUCUUUGAAUGGUUUGGGCUGUGUACUAAUGCAGUAUGGCAGGGUGAUCGCGUAUGCUUCGCAACAAUUAAAGCCCUAUAAGAUGAAUUAUCAUACUCACGAUCUCGAAUUAGCAUCUAUUAUCUUUGCAUUGAAAAUAUGGAGGCAUUAUUUGUACGAGGAAACAUGUCAGAUCUUCACCGACCAUAAAAGCCUCAAAUACAUUUUUACUCAGAAAAAUCUUAAUCUUAGGCAACGGAGAUGUGUUAAGUUGCUCAGUGAUUAUGACUGCAAUAUCGAGUAUCAUCCAGGUCGUGCAAACUAUGUAGCUGAUGCUUUAAGUAAGAAAUCUCAAGGUCGACUCAACACACUUUAUGCAUGCAGUGUUCCAUUCCUGACUGAAUUGUGAUCUACUGGAGUCACAUUAGGUGAAGAUUACCAGGGAGCUCUACUUGCUAAUUUUCAAGUUAGGCCAAUUUUGUCGGAUCGUGUACUCGAAGCUCAGGCGAAUGAUCUGGAAUCUCAGGAGUUAAUACAAGUAAUGUUUAGAGGGGAAAGAAAGACCUCAGGGUAUGGAGACCAGAUGGUAUGCUCAUGUAAGGUGAUCGGAUGUAUGUACCUGACAUAGCAGAAUUAAAGAAAGAGAUACUUGAUGAGGCCUAUGUUUCGUCUUAUGCGAUGCAUCAUGGGAGUACUAAGAUGUAUCAUACCAUCUGACCUUUCUAUUAUUGGCCUGGUAUGAAAAAUAAAUCGCAAAAUAUGUAAGUCGUUGUGCGGUUUGUCAGCAAGUCAAGGCAAAAAGGAAGAAACCUUUUGGGUUAUUACAAACACUUCCCGUACCUGAGUGGAAAUGGGAAGAUAUUACCAUGGAUUUCAUGUACAAGUUACCUCGUACGCGGAAUGGUUAUGAUGGUAUUUGGGUGAUAGUUGAUUGACUCACCAAGUUAGUACACUUUAUACCCGUUCAAGAAAAUUACUCGUUAAGUCUGUUGGCAGAACUGUUUAUUUCAAAAAUUGUCAAGUGCCAUGGUGUUCCGUAUAGUAUCAUUUCUAAUCGGGAUCCCAUGUUCACUUCUAAAUUUUGGGUAGCUUUUCAGGAAGCCUUCGGUUCGAGAUUGCUCUACAGCACAGCUUAUCAUCCUUAGAUGGAUGGACAAUUUGAGAGAACCAUUCAAACGCUCAAAGAUAUGCUGAGAUCCUCAGUUUUGCAGUUUGGAAACUCUUGGCAUCAGCGUUUAGCUUUGAUCAAGUUUGCUUAUAAUAUCAUUCUAGCAUUGGCAUGUCACCGUUUGAGGCACUUUAUGGUAAACCAUGUCGUACCCCGCUAUAUUGGUCUGAAGUUGGCAAGAGAGUGCUAGUGGGUCCUAAGAUUGUAGAUGAGACCAUGCAAAAUAUUCAGGUGAUUAAAGUUAACCUGAAGGCGGCCCAGGAUCGACAAAAGAGUAUCGUUGAUAGACAUUCAACUGACAGGGUAUAUAAGGUUGGAGAUUGGGUAUUCUUGAAGCUAUCACCAUGGAGAGGCGUGGUAUGGUUCGGAAAGAAAGGUAAGUUAAGUCCUCUCUAUAUUGGACCUUAUUAGAUCACCGAGUGAGUUGGUGAAGUUGCCUAUCGGCUUGAGCUACCUCAAGAAUUAUCAAAGGUGCAUAACAUGUUUCACGUGUCUAUGCUGCGUAAAUAUAUCCUUGAUCCAUCGCACGUGAUUCCCCCUUAGCCACUAGAGAUUAACCUAGACUUGACUUACGAUGAGGAGUCAGUGAUAAUUUUGGAUUGGGAAGACAAGGUUCUCCGGAACAAGACUGUUCGUAUGGUAAAAGUCUUGUGAAGGAACCACUCAGUCAAGGAAGCUACCUGGGAAACAGAAGAACACAUAUGGGACUUGAAUCCACGUCUGUUCUUUGACUAUUGAUGUGUUAAUAUGUAGAAAUUUCGAGGACAAAAUUUUCUUAAGGGGGUAAACUGUGACGACCCGUCCCAAUUUAUUAUAUAAUUUUCUCCUCGAGUGUAUAAAGUGAUGAAUAUUCCUUUGUUGGUUAAGUGACGUGGAUGUACAUGUGCAGAUUUAAAAUCUUUUUCUUGCUAUCGCAAUUAAAUUGUACUCGAUGUCAUAAGCACGUUGAUGUGAGUUAGGGCCGAAUCAGAGUAGUAACGAAAUACAUUACGAACAAUUGAAUGCGUAAUUGGGUAGAAUUAAGUUGUCUUUCUUUUUAAUGUUGAUCCAAACUCAACACUUAUCUACCCAAUUAUUUAGGCCCUUAUAUCCCGCAGCCCAAUCAGAAAAUAUUUAUUUUCUUCUUCUGCCCAAUCAGACACGUGCACACACACAUACACUCUCAUUCUCUCUCAUUCUCUAUUCUUCUUCUUUCUUCUUCCUUUGCAUUGUGACACAUCCACAAUCAAACCCAUCAAAAUCUCACAGAUCGAACGUGAGCUUUACAUCAUUGUAUUCCCCUUGACCUCACGAACUCAGUGAUGCCACUUAAUUGUUGAACGGACGAGUGUAACUCGAGAAGCCAAAAGCUCCGACGAGGAGCAAGUUUACUCUGUCACGAUUCCGAUUAGUUUACAAAGUCUUAGGACCUGGAAAACUCCCCACGCAACUUCCCUAGAUGUUUGGAGUAAGUUUGGAGUUAUGUUGACAUCGAAUUACAUGGUUUUGAGAAGAUCCAGUUAUGGACGGAAUUGUCGAGGGAUUUUUCGACCGUUUUCUGUUGGAUUUUGGACUUCCAAUAGGUACGAACAUGUUCUACUCUUCGAGACCUUCAAAUCCAUAUAAAUUUUAGGAUUUUGGCAAAGAAAUGAAGUAGAUAUAAAGCUUUGAAAAUUUUCCAAAAACCGACGAGUGCAGAAGGCGGCCAAUGGCGGCUAAUGGCAGAGACCGACGGGUAACUGGAGAAAAAGAAGGUAUAUUCCAUUAACUUUAACGGAAUAUUCUAACAAUGUUAGGUAACAUUAUUACCAUUUAACUGAAUGUUCCGCUUAUUUUGACGGAAUAUUCCUAACGUCAUUACGGUUUCCAUCAGUGUGCAGUGUACAUGCCUACGUGUGGCCGAUGCGUGAUUUUUUCUAAAAAUUUGUGUGAGUUCGUAUCAUCGAGUAGAUCACGUUCGCAUAUUCAAACUUUACAUUUGAGCAAACUAUGAGGAGUUAUUUUUGGAUUUCGUAUAUGUGCUAACUAAUUAACGUAAAAAUAGUUGUAUCACAUAUAGGUGAGAUGUAUCCCGAGGACGAGAGUGGACAAGCGAAGCUAGGGGCUACGAUCCUGCUACUUAUCAGUGAGUGGGCAUUUGUUUUCUAUGUAUAUAUAUAUAUACAUACAUGGUUUCUAGAAACGUUUUUAUAUGGAAUUAUGCUUUGCUUGCCAUGUCAUAAAUAAGUUAAAUUUUAAAUAUUGCAUUGUUACACUUGUGAAUUGUAUUGUGUGAUGCUGAGGAGACUCAGGUAAGCUUCUGGUGAGUAUUAUGUGAUUGAAUGGGUUGUAUUGCAUUGGUAUGCAUACAUUUAUUUAGAGCUCAUCAUGGUUGUACCCCUGUAUUAGUGUUCCCGCCUGGGGCUAGGGUCAGCCUUCAUGUGAUUGUUCACCUCCCGCACCGCACGCUCACCUUGGAUCCAAGUCUGGUGUCAGCCUGUCGUAUAGACCACAAUAGGUGGUUCCUACUCGUAGGUGACCCGUAAUUUAUCGCACAGCCUUCACUUGAUCGUAGCACUUAAGCGUACAUAUUUAUACCCAACUUGUCAUACAGGUCACACUAGGUGACUCUGACUCAUGUGCUAGCCUAGAUUGAUGAGCUAUAGAUCCAGUCAAACAGGUCACUCAAGGUGACUCCAACUGGCAUAUUAUUUUAUAUUAGCUGCACAUCUGGUUUACAUUUUCUUAGUACUGAAAUAUUAUGACAUGGCAUAUCUCAGUUUUCACUGGUCUUAUGCAUUGGAUUUCAUACCUACGUAGUAGUAUUUUCUAGAAACUAUAUGGGUUUUACAGAGAGGGGUUAUUAUGUUCAUAAAGAUAAACACGUUUUCAAAGACUUUGUUUUUGCCUACUCACCCUUCUGUUUUGCGCCCAUCCAGGUUCUAGGUAGCUGUUUAUCUUUGGUGGCUCACGAGGACUACUCGGCGGUUCUGAUGUUCCAUUAAAUAAUGUAAGGAUCCUCUCCCGGUUUGUAUAAUAUGUGUUUAGUUAGUUCCACUGCACUUUCGUAUUACCUAUGCUCUGAUACGUGUGCAUUACAUACUUGAUCACUUUUGCACACUUAUAUAUUAUCUCUAGUUAAAUAAGUUUAGUUUUGGUUUUUAUUUAUUCACAUUUUCUUAUUAUUAUUAUCAUUUCUGUUGCGCACUUGGCUAUGUCACCCUCAUGUGACGGCUAGCAUGCCUCGACUCCGGUCGGGGCGUGUUAUUAUGUGACGAAUAUCAAUAUUUCCUCACCUAAACCCUAUUUACAUAUUUUUUAUUUAAUUUUGUAUUUUAUAUUGUUAAACUAAAUUAUUUUCUUUAAGCGUAAUUGUGUAGUACGCAAUGAUACAAACACAUGGCACAAGCGGAUUAGAAUUUGGAGUUACAAUGAAGAUUUUACGGAUUUACGAACGUGAAGGGCGAUUUGGUAAUUUCAUGUUUAGAGAUAUUUUGUGGCUUGUUUUGUGAGCCACGUGGGGCCCACACCCCAAUUUUGCUCUAUCCCGUGUCCUCUCAGUCCAAAAAUCUCGAUCCCUUUUUUUCGAACUCUCUCAUUUCUUUUAAACCCUUGGACCACACUCUUGUUAACACCUCACUAAGUUUAUUAUUUUAAAACUUUUUCUCUCCCCCUCAUUUUCUUUUUCUUCUCUGAUAACAGGGAGGCCAAAAGGCCAGAAACCAACCACAUCACCAUCAUACCAAUGCCACUCCAGCA
rnacentral:lncRNA from 1 species